rnacentral:rRNA from 1 species
GUGAGGAAUAUUGGGCAAUGGGCGAAAGCCUGACCCAGCCACGCCGCGUGAGUGAUGAAGGCCUUCGGGUUGUAAAGCUCUGUGGGGAGGGAAGAAAAAGCGGGAGAGUAACUGCUCUCGUGUUGACGGUACCUCCUUAGCAAGCACCGGCUAACUCUGUGCCAGCAGCCGCGGUAAUACAGAGGGUGCAAACGUUGCUCGGAAUUACUGGGCGUAAAGCGCGUGUAGGCUGACAUGCAAGUCGGGUGUGAAAUCCCAGGGCUCAACCUUGGAACUGCACUCGAAACUGCACGUCUUGAGUACUGGAGAGGGAAGCGGAAUUCCGGGUGUAGAGGUGAAAUUCGUAGAUAUCCGGAGGAACACCAGUGGCGAAGGCGGCUUCCUGGACAGUAACUGACGCUGAGACGCGAAAGCGUGGGGAGCAAACAGGAUUAGAAACCCCGGUAGUCC